UGGUGGUUCAGUGGCAGAAUUCUUGCUUUACAUGCAGAAGACCUGGGUUGAAUUCCCAGCCA
rnacentral:tRNA from 1 species